UCACACUAGACGGGGAGGUAGCGGUGCCCUGUAACCUGCAAUCCGCUAUAGCAGGGUUGAAUUCCCCAAAGAGGUUCCAUUUUUUAGAGUCUGCCGGUAUUAAGUGGUGUUGACGUUUGGACCCUCCGCAAUAAAAACUUAUGAACCCUGUCAGAUCCGGAAGGAAGCAGCAGUAAGUAAGACCUUUUAUGUGCCGGAGGAUUAUCUGAAUUGAGCUAACUGAUAGUGUAACGUCUGAAGGAUGUCUAUCGAUGCGGGGUGUGUGU
rnacentral:SRP_RNA from 1 species